GAUCAUCAAAGGAACGGAUAAUUCAGCAAGGCAACUAUUUCUGCAUCCUGGGAAGCGCUCAGAACUUCAGAAAGGUCCUUGGAUUUCGCUAUGCCUUCUUCGGAACGCGGAAGACGGAAGGGAACUCUCUUACCUGUAGGCAGGAGAAAGGUGGUGGAGAUUCAGUCUUACCAUUGAAUAGUCUAUCUCACAUUUGAAAAAGAUUGCACGACCAACGGAUAUUGGUGUGAGAGACAUUCUAUGAAGAAGCCAAGGCACACAGUUUGCAUAAGUAGGAGGAAAAUAUGUUGCAGAUUGGACUAUUAACUCCACGUCAACUCACAGCAGUGGUGUGGCAAAUGCAUGGUAUGGUUUCAUAGGACCUGGAGUGGUAGAAUAGAGUUUGCUGUAUAUUAACAGAAGUCCAUCACUGCUAAUCUGAAAACCCUCAGAAGGCAUGACCUCAAUGGAAAUCUUUAAAAUUAAUAGAAUUGUAAAAGGCAUUUAUUUCUUUUUUCAUAUUAUUUUAAAAGAGGAUAUAUUAUUUACUUAUGUAAAGCUGUCACAUAGUAAUCAAUGUGUGGCAAAAAGUAAUUUGAAAGGAUUGAUUGAGGUGAAAAGAGAUUUUUGGUUGGUUUGGGCCUCUCCUUAAAAUUGUGUGAAAUAAUUCCAAGAUCAGUUUUAAAUUAAAAAUGACUGGAAUUUGGGAAAAGCCUUUGUGACUGAUCUUUUCUUGGUGAUCAACAAGACUGAUAUAUCUGGAAGGCCAGAACUAAUGUCUGCCUUGGGGCAGCUGUGCGCUGGCGAGGGCGGACAGGCAGCCAGAAGUCUGAUGACCUUGCGUACCUCACUCACAACUCCUCUCUUCUGACAAGGGGAGCCCCCCUUCCGCUGAAAUGCAGCCAAGUGUGAAAGCCCACCUCUCCACAGGCCGGGCAGGACAAAGGACACCCAGCCAGAGCUGUGGAGAUGGCAAUCAUGAGUCAAACAAGCACAUUUAGGCAUUUAACAGUUUGGGGAGUUUAAUACAGAUUUGAGUAUCCUGAAAAAGAGUGACUUCUGGCUAGACACUGGGCAGCAUAAAUCAAGUACCUCACUGGAGACACAGUGUUGAUAAGGCCACUGUAAUUCACAAAGAGAUACUUUAAAGAAAAAAAGCUACAUAUGAUGUUGUCAUACACUCUCUGCAGAAAUAUCUCUUUGUCUUUUAAUUGUGGAUGCAUUUCUGUUUUAUUAAACAGUAUUGCCUAUUAUUUUAUAUCAUGUGAUAAAUGGCAGUUAAGUAUAAAGAGUUAUUAAAGUUUUUAAAUUGAUAUAAUUCCAUUAUUGUCGCAUUUUCCAGGGCAUAAGAAGUCAGCAUGUCCUCAUUAUUUUUUCUUAAAAUUAAAUUUAUCAGAUAACCUAAGCCUUUAAAGCCAUAUAUCCUAUUUUAAUUAAAAAAAUUUUCUGGUUGUGAUCAUGGUAUAGAAUUAAAUUCCCAUGUAAAAUAUGGGAAGAAGGGAGGUAAGGGGAGGUCAUAUAGUGUUACCUGAUAAAAGGAGACAGUAAUAUUUAAAAUGAGGUAAGUGUUGCAUCGAUUUAUGAUGUAUUUUAUCUGCAGGAGAAACCAUAGUUUAUCGUGGUGUCAUUCAGCUUGAAUGGUCAGCUGUAUAUCUUUGACUUUUUGAAUGUAACUGCUGAAAGGAAAAGACUUUCAGAGAUGUGAGCCAUGAGACAGAUCAAAAGCUUAAGGCAAUUUUGCUUUGCUAGUUCAAAUAUAUUUUUAUUGAAACAUAUUUUGUUGUCAUGCACGCAUAAAUAUUCUAUAGUAUCAGUCAAAGUGGGUGAGGUCCCAGAGUCACUGGCAUUGUUCAUAGAAAGCCAAGAAUUCAGAUAUUUCCAUAAUCUCAAAAGUGCUUUAUGUAGUUUUCUUUUUUGAACAUCUAAUUGUGCAGAAGCCAUGCUUUCCCAUAGGCUAUUUCUGUUGGAGAGCAUAGAAACAAAUCCAUGACGUGAGACUCACGGACUAAAUCUAACAGUGAUUUUAUGGAACAUAAACCCUUAUGAGAUGAUCAGAAACAUUAAGCUGAUUAUACAGGUGCAGGGCUCAAGCACUUGGGCCAUCCUCCACUGCCUCCCGGGCCACAGCAGAGAGCUGGACUGGAAGAGGAGCAACCGGGACAGAAUUUGGCACCCCAACUGGGACUAGAACCUGGAGUGCCGGUGCCGCAGGCGGAGGAUUAGCCAAAUGAGCCACGGCGCCGGCCUAAACAUUAUGUUUUCAAUAUUGCUGUUAAAAUAUUAUAGAAAAAUAGGAUAAGGUUAUAAUUUAAAGAGAGAAUUUACUUUUCUUUCCAUCAGGCACCUGGUAACACCAGCAAGCUGGGAUCAUCUUGACACACUGCAGGUAUUGAUAUGAUUUUAUGCUAACAGUGACUUCUUUUUUUUUAAGGUUUGUUCAUUUAUUUGGAAGCCAGUAUUACAGUGGGAGAAAGAUGAGGGGAGGGGGAAGACAUUUUCCGUCAAUGGGUUCACUCCCCAGAUGACUGCAAUGGCCAGGACUGGGCCAGGCAGAAGCCAGGAGCUUCAUCCAUGUCUUCCAUGUCUGUGGCAGGGACCCAAAAGCUUGAGAUAUAUUUUGCUUCUUUUCCCAGGCUAUUAGCAAGGAUCUGGGUGGGAAGUGGAACAGAUAUGACUUGAACCAAGCCUAUAAGGGAUGCUGGCAUCCCAGACAGCAGCUUUACUUGCUAUGCCACAACACCAGUCCCUAAAGAGUAGCUUCUACAAAUCCCGUAUACUUCACCACCACUUGUCUUACAAAUUACCCUUAUCAUUGGAAGUUGUGUUCCUUCAGAGUUCAAACACAACAGGAAGGUAAUGCACCUGGGAAAUCCCUUUGGCAGGCUUAGGACUCUUUCUGUUCUCUCUGUGAAAACACCACAUGGGCCAGUGCCGUGGUGCAGUAGGUUAAUCCUCUGCCUGAGGCUCCAGCAUCCCAUUUGGGUGCUGGUUCUAAUCCCGAUUGCUCCUCUUCCAAUCCAUCCACAAUCUCUGUUGUGGAUGUAGAAUAUGUUGUGCAGUAGAAGAUGGCGCAAGUGCUUGGGCUUCUGCACCCACAUGGGAAACCUUGAAGAAGCACUUGGCUCCUGUUCAGAUCGACACAGCUCCAGCCAUUGCGGACAUUUGGGGAGUGAACCAGUGGAUGGAAGACCUUUCUCUCUGUCUUUCCCUCACACUGUAACUCUACCUCUCAAAUAAAUAAAUAAAUAAAUAGUUUAAAACAACAACAACAAAAAGAAAAUACCACAAAUUCACCCACCUUUCUUUUCUAUAACUAAUGGGGAAAACUCUCCACAGAACAGGUGGAAAGUGAUCACAGGGCUGGGCUCAUUUUUCUGGUUCUUUCAUAUUCCAAGAUCCUGAUUCAGUAACUUACCAUUAUCAUGUUAGCAUUCUUAUGUCUUAAAACAAAUAUUAUGUGUGUUUUGUCUAUUUUUACUCUUACUUGAUAGAGAACGGCUUUAGAUUAUCAAGUUCACCAUUCUCUAAUUCUUUACCAUUUCUAAAACUGAAAUCAUUUUUGUGGAUCGUAUGCUCAAAAUUACAUCACUACAGUGGCAAUUUGUCUGCAUUUGGUAAUAUUUUUCAUCCCCUUCAUUUAUUUUCCCAUUCAAAUUUAAUCAAAAUACACACUAAAAGCUUUCCAAUUAUAUUAGAUUUUCUUUGAAAUACAGUAGAUAUUUCUUAGGCAUAUGAUAUACCCCCAAAUAGCUCUGGUUUUCAUGUAGGGAUCAUAGCAUCACAGUAAAAUGUCUGUUAAAUACCCACUUUCAAAGAAGCCCUAAAAAUACUAUUGUACAAAUAUUGUUCAGUAUGAUCAAUGUUUAGCAUUAUUUCUGGAAGCAAUAAUUGACAAAACUCUUUUCUGUGUACCAUGUUUUCUUAGUGUACUAUUUUAUGUUACAACUUUCAGCUGAUUUUUUUGUUAUUUUGCUCAUUCACAUGGUACAGUGAAAUGGCGUUUGAAAAUCCUGAAGAUUAAUUAUAGCAGUAGGUUUCAUGGAGUCUAAUGGAAACUCUCAUAUAGAGGCAUUUAUGAGUGCUUGAGAAAUUCAGAGAAACUUGAUAUAUCCCAGGCCCAGAGAAUUUACAACAUUAAGAGAUAUGCUUUGAUUAAUCUACAAAUUCUCUAUCUUGCUUCUCCUAACUCAGAACUCUUAGUAUGUAUGCAUAUUGGAGUCAACUAAUGCAUGCUGCCAGGUCCCUGUACUCCCCUUGCUCUCUGACAGGAAGUAUCCUUGUUUAUAUAGAUGAAUGGGACCACUGUGCCAGUUGCUCCCCAUUUCCUCAUGUUGCUCUUGGGCAUACCCACAAAGCAUCAGCUCACUUUCCUCAGUGGGCCCCUUUUGCUCUGGUCCUAUGCCUUCCCUGCUACUAACUAGCCUGAUGCUAACAUAUCCAAUGGAAGCCAAUGUCUGUGUGCAAGUUUUCAGUGUUAGUGUCCUUGAGGCAAAUUUUGGACAGUGGGGAGUACUGGUAGACAUGGUCUUCUCUCUUCUUUUAUCCCAAAAAGACGUUGCAUAUCCAAAAGCUUCUUAAAUGUGCAGCAGAGAUAUUUUGUGAAAGUGAUCAACUAGCUUAUCAUUGAACUGGAUCCAGCACAAUAAUGUAUAACCUUGUGUUUGAUCUCCUUUAUCUUUUCCUGUGUUUUUGGAUUGCACUUCUCACUAAAGUGAUAGCAAAUAUCCUUUCCCUUGGGCUCUGUUUCUAGGAAACUUGGCUAACAAAAGCCAUAUCAACAACAUAAUGAAUAUGUAAGACUGAUAUUGCUAACUUUUUAUGUCAUUAGUAAACUCAUGUACAAUACUGAUUAUGAUUUAUGCUACCUAGAAAAUUUUUUAUAAAGAUGAGUCGCCAACUGAACUUGAAGAUGAUAAUAAUAGCAAAUAUUUAGUGAGAAUUUAUGGUCUGCCAGAUGCUGUGAAAGAUGUUUUACCAAGGUUUUUUUUAGCUUUUCCAAGAGUCCAAUUGGUUGGUACAAUUAUUAUUUCAGGUGUUUUGCAUGAGUAUGUGGAAACUGUAGCUGCAAGUGGUUAAAAAGCUCAUUUAGGAUCACGAAUUAAUGUCAAAACUGGGACUCAAUUCCAGAAUGUAUGUUCUUGACUACAAACUAUACUGUCUGCCCAAAACUAUGCUUUUUAUCCUCCUAUUUCAUUUAGUUUCAUUGGUCAUGUUAUUUUUCCCUACUCUGAUACACUACAGGAAGGGCAUCUAAGGAAGGUAUGCUUUUCAAUGUCUUCUACCUACACUUUUCCCUUAAACAGACUUUUCUGAAAGGAUAUCUCUAGAAUAUUCAUGUCCUCAGUAUUUUUUUCCACAAUAUUGACAAUGCCAUCCUCACCAUUCAAGGUGAAGAAGAAAAGUCUGUAGUUAUUUCUGUGAACAAUGAAGAAACAGUAAGUUCAGAAACUAAAAAAUUGUGUGUUACUGAAUUUUGAUUUGCAAGCGUGCAAGAAAGUCCUGUGCACUGGACCUGAUUUAAGAAAGUGUGGAAAAUUCAAAAAAUCUACUCAUAUAUCAAAAGAGCAAAGGAUAUAUCAGAAAAUGAUAAAUACUAUUACUACAACUAAUAAAUAAGACAUAUGUUUUCAGGCUGAUUGUGAAAAUCAAUGAACUGAGGUAUCCUAAGGAACAACAAUGCAAAUAUAUAAUUAAAAGCAAUUCCUUGUUCAAUAACCUAACCAAUCAGCCCAAGAAAUAACAUAAUUUCACUACUUACCUAGGAUCUCCAACUUAGUUUUCCACCUCAAAUGACUUCGGUGACAUUUCUUUUAGACUUGGCAACAAUAGGAGUAAAAUAGACAAAUAGACAGUGUCCUAAAUGCCAUGAUUUUAAAAUUACAUUUCAGUUGGAUAAUAUCAGCCCUUCCUUUGACCUUCAUCUCCAAACCAAUGACACUUUACAUAUAUUUCCUUUCAUCUCAUAAGAGACAUCUUAUGCUACAAUGUGUUCUAGUCAUCAGUAAGCUUCACUCUACCAGAUUAUCAGGGAAAAUCUAGGAUUUACACAUAUUUGUAUUUACCAUGUACAUAGGCAGAGCGUGUACAUAUUUAUGAAAUUGAAUGAUAUAAAGCAGUAAGCCUAAUGAAAGGAAAAUCAAUUGGGAAAUGAAAAGUCGCUGGGUAUUUUUGAUGUAUUUGUGUAGAUUAAUAUGUAUUGGAAGGGAAUGAAUCGUUAAUGUGUUCAAAAGACUUGGACUUAAUGUUAAAACCCUCAAGCAAAGAUUUAGCAGUUCUCCCUUCUUUCAGUCCCAUUUCCUUAGACAUCCCAUCAUCAUGCACCCAAAGAAAUCGCCCUUGUUACUGAACCCUUGACUAUUCUGUCUGCCUGCCUCUGUGACAGCCAUGUCUAUGUAGCCUAGCAAAUGUAAAUUGCAGGUAUGUUUCUCUAGGUCAGAAUGAUGUCUUGGAUAAUUUGUAUGGAAAUUGCUGCAGUGAUGUAGCUCUGUUUCAGCUGAGAGGUUUCAUGUUAUGUUAGUGAUCAUUUUUCAUACUCACUGAACAAGAGUAAUUCCAUGGUGGCUUUACGAGUAGUACAGUAAUUCAUACUCAGGCGUGAAUAGUUAUUCUAAAAGGUAUGCGUUAUUUGAAUAGGUAUCUAUAUAAAAUGGCAACAUUAAAAAUAAGCAAAUUAAAACUGGCACCAACUAGCAGCAUCCAUAUAUUACCUUGACCUUGUUAGGACAUACACAAUGUUGUAGAAGAGUUUGAAGUUGUAAAGAAGCAUAAAUUAUUUUUUUAAGAUUUUUUAUUUAUUUGAAAGACAGAGUUACAGAGAAAGGUAGAGACAGAGAGAGCAGUCUUCCAUCCACUAGUUCACUCCCCAGAUGGCUGCAAUGCCUGGAGCUGGACAGAUCCAAAGCCACGAGCCAGGAGCUUCUUCCAGGUCUUCCACGCAGGUGCAGGGGCCAAAGGGCUUGGGCCAUCUUCCACUGCUUUCUCAGGCCAUAGCAGAAAGCUGGAUCAGAAGAGGAGCAGCAGGGGCUUGAACCGGUGCCCAUAGAAGCAUGAAUUCUUGAGACUUAUUCAUUUCUUGAUCAACCUUCUACCCUAGGCCACUAGCCAUAUGUCAGGAAUGAGGACUGACUAUAAAUGUACACUUUCUGUAGCUGAGAGUACCAAUCAACAGAUUUUUUUAACCUUAAAAAUGGAAUCUCAAAAGUCUGCCUAUGUCAUAAGUUUCAAUGAACUGAAAAUAGCAAGAAAGAGCACAUGAUAAUUUCUGUGACGACCUUGGUCUUUAGAAAUCCAUGUCAUCUAGCACCCUGAAUAAAUGUCUCUAUUCCUGAAGCAAUUAACAAUAUGGUUUAUUUCCCUGGUAUUUAUUACAAUGAAGAACCAGUAAGUAUUUUUUUUUUUUUUGACAGGCAGAGUGGACAGUGAGAGAGAGAGAGAGAGAGAGACAAAGGUCUUCCUUUGCCGUUGGUUCACCCUCCAAUGGCCGCCACAGCCAGUGCGCUGCUGCCGGCGCACUGCAUUGAUCGGAUGGCAGGAGCCAGGUACUUAUCCUGGUCUCCCAUGUGGGUGCAGGGCCCAAGGAGUUGGGCCAUCCUCCACUGCACUCCCUGGCCACAGCAGAGAGCUGGCCUGGAAGAGGGGCAACCGGGACAGAAUCCGGUGCCCUGAUCAGGACUAGAACCCGGUGUGCCGGCGCCACAAGGUGGAGGAUUAGCCUAGUGAGCCGCGGCGCCGGCCAAGAACCAGUAAGUAUUAAGGAAUUUGAAAGUUGGAAAAAUUUCUAGAGAGGGAAAUUGACACAUAUUAGAAGGUCGGUGUAAUGCUUAGGGGCUUGGAUUUUGGAUUUAGAGAGAGCUGUAGUUGAAUCACAAGGAGAUUCGCACUAGCUGUAUACCUUGAGCAGCAUGCUUUACACCUCUAAGAUUUAGCUUCCUCAUUUGAAAAAUGGGCUAUUUGAAUGCCAAAUGUAUGAAAUUGUUUUUGGAUUUGUGUAAAAUAAUACUGUUUCUAAAAGCAGAAUCCUUAUUUUGUAAAUAUUGCAUACUAAAUGUAUGUAUAUAGAUGUACAUAUGUAUAUAGAUGAAAUCAUAGAAGGAUUAGGAUUUACUUCAAGAUAGUAUAGAUGGGAGGAAAUGGGUGAGGGUAUAGGAAUAACUAGAUUAGCCAUGAAUUUGUAGUGUAGAAAUGAAUGACUAGAUACACGGGAGUUCAUUGUUUUUGAAAGUUUCCAUAAUAAAAUAUUAAAGUGAGAUAAAAACUAAUGCAAGCAAAGUUCUUUGUUAAGUGUUUCCCAUAUAAUAUGUGUUUAAAUAAUUAUUGUAAUGAUAAUCAUUACAAAGUAGUGGUUAAUAACAUGAGAAUACUGAGAUAAAUAUUGAUGUACACAUGUCAUUUUAAAAAUGAAUAGUUCUAACUUUUAUGUCUUUAACAGGAUAACAAUCAAGUGUGUCUCUGCUAUUUGUUGAUUGUUUUUCUGGUUUAGUUGAAACUGUAAUAAUCCUUUCAUUAUUUGAUUUUUUUUCUGGCUUAGUUGUAAUGAUAAUAAUCCUUUCAUUAUUUACCACAAAUAGAUGAAAUUCCUACUGGUAAUUACUUUUAUAUCUUGUCAUACUCGAGUCAUCUAGAAUGGGUUGAAAGAAAUGAUUAGGUGAUUUCUGAAUGUCAUGAUAGUAACAAAAUGAAAAGCACCUGCAAAUCUUUAAACAAUUAACUAUUUUGACUUGCUUUAUUAAUAAAAGGAAAUUCAAUAAUCACAUAAUGUAUUUAUAAGAUGUAUUAUAUGAUAUAAUGAAAUUGUAACAUUGUUGGCAGAAGUGUUUAAACUAAUGUUCAUUUAUUACAGUCCACCUUGCUCAUACCGAGCUUGUGUGCAACUCUAGGCCAAGCCUAGAACCAAGUCACCACUAGGGGCUUUUCAGUAUUUCAAAAUAUGUUCACUCUUCCCUUGUUGAAUGCUCAUGGAACUCUCCAAAUCACUGGAAUGACUGUUGAACAGCAUGCCUCCCUACGCCCUUGUCAGAUUUCCUGACAUGUAGUAGAUUUCUUGUGCUCUAAGACAAAAAUGAUACUGUAAAACAUAUAUUUUCUAUAGAACCUCGCAGAUCCUUCUUUUUGGAGAUUUUCACUUUUUCUCACUGAAAGUCAAGAAAAUCUCUAACACCUCGUUUCCUCCGAUGGUCAAGCUCCUUUCAGUGACUUCUGGAAGUAAUUAUCUUUGUACUUUGGAGAUGAAAGCUUAGUUAAAUAUGUGAGAGACCAAGCAGAUGUGGCAGAACGUAUUAUGCUGCACAUUGUCUCAUGUCACAGCUGUACAGCUGAUGAAGACCUUGCCGAGGAUUGUGUCAUUCAGAGAUGUUAGGAAAGAUGAUUGUUUAGAGGAAGAAAAUUAGCGUUGCUGUUAUUACAUGACCUAGUCAUGAAAUCUAGGAUACAUGUAUCCAAAAGACGUGGAUCCGUUUCUUUUCUCAAAAAUCCAUUUAAUUAAAACACAGAUACAAAACAAGCACAAUUGAAAAUAGUGCUUUAAAAAUCACCCUUUUUAAAUUUUAUUAGUUAUAAAAGUAUAUUUAUGUCAUCAGUUUCUUAGAGUAGUAUGUAGCAACACUGUGCAUAUUUACUUUAUAUUGUCAGAUUUUGAAAUUUUAUUAUUGAGUCUAUGAUAUGGUAUUUUUACACCUGACUUUUUUAUUCUUUCUAGAAAGAUUUUUUACUUAUUUAAGAAUUCUACAAGUUAGAUAUUAGUAGUGUAUAACAAGAUAGUACUUUACAUUAUUCAAGUAAAUACAUGCCUAAAAGAUUACAAGAUGAUUGCUUAAAACAGUUUAAAAAUUUUUAUUUUUUUAAACUUUCAUUUAAUAAAUAUAAAUUCCCAAAGUACAACUUUUGGAUUACAGUAGCUUUUCCCCCAAUAAUCUCCCUCCCACCCACAACCAUCCCAUCUCACACCCCCUCUCCCAUCCCAUUCUUUAUCAAGAUUCAUUUUCAAUUAUCUUUAUGUACAGAAGAUCAACUUAGUAUAUACUAAGUAAAGAUUUCACCACUUUGCACCCACACAGAUACACAAAGUAUAAAGUACUGUUUGAGUAGUAGUUUUACCAUUAAUUCACAUAGUACAACACAUUAAGGACAGAGAUCCUACAUCGGGAGUAAGUGCACAAUGACUCCCGUUGUUGAUUUCACAAUUGACACUCUUAUUUAUGACGUCAGUAAUCACCCGAGGCUCUUGUCAUGAGCUGCCAAGGCUAUGGAAGCCUCUUGAGUUCACCAACUCUGAUCUUAUUUAGUUAAGGCCAUAGUCAAAGUGGAAGUUCACUCCUCUCUUUUGAGAAAGGUACCUCCUUCUUUGAUGGCCCAUUCUUUCCACUAGGAUCUCACUCACAGAGAUCUUUCAUUUAGGUGUUUUUUUUUUUUUUUUUUUGCCACAGUGUCUUGGCUUUCCAUACCUGAGAAACUCUCAUAGGCUUUUUAGCCAGAUCUGAAUGCCUUAAGGGCUGAUUCUGAGGCCAGAGUGCUGUUUAGGACAUCUGCCAUUCUAUGAGUCUGCUGUGUAUCCCGAUUUCCAUGUUGGAUCGUUGUCUCCUUUCUAAUUCUAGCAGUUAGUAUUAGCAGGCACUAGUCUUGCUUAUGUGAUCCCUUUGACACUUAAUCCUAUCAUUUUGACCAAUUAUGAACUUAAACUGAUCACUUUGACUAACAUGGCAUUGGUACAUGCCACCUUGAUGGGACUGAAUUGGAAUCCUCUGCAACAUUUCUAGCUCUACCAUUAGGGGUAAGUCUGAGUGAGCAUGUGCCAAACUGUACAUCUCCUCCCUCUCUUACUCCCACUAUAAUAAUUAACAAGGAUCACUUUUCAGUUAAAUUUAAACACCUAAGAAUAAUUGUGUGUUAAUUAAAGAGUUCAAUCAAUGGUAUUAAGUAGAACAAACAAAUACUAAAAGGAACAAAGUAGUAAGUUGUUCCUCCACAGUCAGGACAAGGGCUGAUCAAGUAAUUGUUUCUUAUAGUGUCCAUUUCACUUCUACAGGUUUCCUUUUAGGUGCUCAGUUAGUUGUCACAGAUCAGGGAGAACACUGGGUUCUAUUUGUCCUUUGGGACUGGCUUAUUUCACUCAGCAUGUUUUCCAGAUUCCUCCAUUUUGUUGCAAAUGAGCAGAUUUCAUUUUUAACUGCUGUAUAGUAUUCUAUCUAGAGUGCAUAUCUCAUAAUUUUUUUAUCUAGUCUUCUGUUGAUGGGCAUUUAGGUUGAUUCCAUGUCUUAGCUAUUGUGAAUUGAGCUGCAAUAAACACAGAGGGUGGGUAUUGUGGAGCAGCAGGUAAAGCCACCACUUAUGAUGCCGACAUCUCAUAUUGGAGUGCCUGGUUUGAAUCCUGGUUAUUCCUCUUGCAAUCCAGCUUCCUGCUAAAGUGUAUCCUGUGAGGCAGAAGUUGAUAGCUCAAGUACUUGAGUCCCUGCCUCCCAUGUAGGAAACCAAAAUGGAGUUUCAGGCUCCUGACUUUGCUUAGUUCAACUCUGGAUAUUGUAAGCAUUUAGGGAGUGAACCAGUGGGUGGAAGAUUUCUCUCUCUCUCUCUCUCUCUCUCUCUCUUCCUCCCUACCUCUUUCUGCCUUUCAAAUAAGUAAAACAAUGAAAUGUGGGGAGCCAUUGCAUCGCGCCCUAAAGAUGGUGCCGGCUCCUUUCUCCCGGAAGGACUGGCAAGAAACAAACAACUCCUAAUAAGGAGAUGGCUGAGCUCCCUUCUGGCUUCCGCAUUGCUGUACCUAUCAAUCCUUGCCACUUGGCUGCUUUUGAUUGGUGUGCUGAUGGCUAUAAGAGGGAUGGGAGAGGGAAGGAGGCGGAAGAAGAAGCUUGUUCAAGGUUCCUGAAUAAACUGCUUGAAGAAGAGUUCGGGUAGUGUCUUCCUUGCUGGUCGAGGGACGCGACAAUGAAAUAAUACUUUAAAAGUAUAAUCCACAGUAAGGAAGAGUUCCAUAUAUACAUCUUGUAUCCUAUACUGCACAUUAAUCUUAUAUUCUAAUUGAUAAUUCAUUCCUGGUGGAAAUGAAGCCCCGCCCCCUUUUUUGGCAGGCAGAGUGGAAAGUGAGAGAGAGAGAGAGAGAGAGAGAGACAGGGAGAAAGGUCUUCCUUUUCCGUAGGUUCACCCCUCAAUGGCUGCUGUGGCCAGCGCGCUGGGGCUUGCGCACCACGCUGGUCCGAAGCCAUGAGCCAGGUGCUUCUCCUGGUCUCCCAUGCAGGUGCAGGGCCCAAGCACUUGGGCCAUCCUCCACUGCACUCCCAGGCCACAGCAGAGAGCUGGACUGGAAGAGGAGCAACUGGGACAGAAUCCGGAGCCCUGACCGGGACUAGAACCCGGUGUACCAGCGCCGCAGGUGGAGGAUUAGCCUAUUGAGCCACGGCGCUGGCCUAAACCCUUUGUUCUUACAGGACUGAAAAGAAGAAAUAAGAAACACAGAAAGUUCUUAAUAUCUACAUAAGAAGCCUUUGUUGUGUAGCUUGGGGAUCUGGUAGUCACUGUUCUAGAUGACAUUAAACUUCUGACUAAAAUAGUUGAUUCAGAACCCUGAUAGAUGUUUACAAUGGGUCUUCAAAUGUUUGCUGGGAGUGAGACUAAGCUCUAUUUUAAAGUAAGAUCAGUGGCAGUGUUUGGCCUCGUGGUUAAGACAACUAUCAGAGCAUCCGAGUUGGAUACCUGGCUCUGGUUUCUACUCAAGCCUCCUGCUAAUGCAGAUCCUGGGAGGUAGCAGUAACGGCCUAACUGAUUGAACUCCUGCCACCUAUAUGGGAAACAUGGAUUAAGUCCUGACUCCUGAGUUUAUUGUAGCUAUUUGAUGAGUUAACCAGUGGAUAGAAUCUCUCUCUCUCUUCCUCUCUCUCAUGUGAAAAAUAAAGGAAGGAAGGAAGAUCAAGUUGUGGGAAAGUUCUUGUAGCCAUGGGAAAAAAUAAUACUUCUGUUCAGUAUGUCCUUAUACAUGAUCUCUUUCACUCUAUUCUCAAAGUAAAAGGAAGGCAGGUAGGAAGAGAGGAAGGAAGAUCAAAUACCAGUGUGUACACUUAUAGGGGUGUGUGUGUGUGUGUGUGUGUGUGUAUGUAUGUGUAUUUCCAAGUGUGUGAAAAAAUGAGGAAUGCAAGCAUUAUGUUUCAGUAUGGUACAUGGGUGUAGGUUGCUAUAUUAACCUUGUUACCUGAUAAUACAUUUUUGAAAGUGUUUAUUUCUUCCUAAUUUAAUUUUCCUUAAUUGGCCUCAACAAGUUUGGGAAGUAGAUUUUAUUAUUUCUAUUUGUAGAUGAGACUCAGAAAGUCCCAUCUAAUAACUUUCCUCAAGUCACUCAAAUGGAUAGAAGGGUUAGUUUAAGAAUGGAAUAUACUGACACUAGUCCAAUUUGCUGUGUUCAUGUUAAGAUGCACACAUUUAUUAAUUCUCAUGUUUGUUAGUUAAAUCAUAAAUUUGGAGAAAGUUUGUUUUUGUUUUAUUGGUUUUUAAUUUAAAAUAGAGUAUUGGCUGCUCACAUGUUUGAUUUAGAUUUAAACAAAUCUCCCUUAUCUUAAUAUUUGCAUGAUUUGUCAGCAGUUGAAGAUUUUGUGACUUAGGAUAUUUGGCCUUUCUACCUGAGUUGGUUUAUAUUCACUUUCCCUCCUUUUCAGUUCUCUUUGUUAGAGGUACCACAUUUUCUUUCACCUGAUCAUUUUCCGACCUUCCUGAACAUUGAGCCCAAUCAGCACCUGUAUUAGAAGUCCAUCCUGAUGUUCUUCAGAAAAAAAAAUUGGUUCCUCUUUUGAGCUCAUGUAACACUAUUUAUUGUCCUUAUUCAUUUUCCUUCUUGUAAUGAUCAUUUCUAUUUCAUUUUUAUAUGUUUUCUGAUGACUAUAUUUCUAUAUCUUCCUAUAGAAUUUGUCGCUUCUGUAGAUGAUUAACUCAUAUUUGUUGCCUCAAUCUGAUAGAGAGAUAAUUGUCAAUGUACUUUAAAGAAUUACAGAAAGGCCAAUCUUUUCUCUGUUAUUAUUGUCAAAAAUUACAAGGAGACAAAUAAUCUGUAACAAAAUAACAACUAAAUUGAUAUGGCAAUUUAAAAUAUCUUUUGAUUGUUUAGUUAUAAGAUUAAUAUUCAUCUACUUUUAUAAGAUUAAGUAAAAAUUCAUCUAGACUUUACAUGGAAGUUACCCUAUUGGUACCUCAAGUUCUGGACAAUUUCUUAGCCCUGAGACAUUUAACAUGUACUACAAGUAAGCAAUUACAUUUUUUGGUAAAACUAUUAAAGUUUCAUUAUGAACACUAAUAUCAAUUUGUUUCUUUGGCUUGUGGGUAGUCAGCAGCUUGGAACAUUCCUUUCUGGAGUCUUAGACCAUCUAUGUCACCUCUUUUAGAGGAAGCAUAUCUGUACUUCUACUGAAAAAAAUGUUUUUCUUGAUAUAUUUCACUCUAGCCUGAGAUACAAAGACAGUCCAUAGAAAUUUACCAUAGAAAUUGCUAGGAUGGAAAUAAUUUUCCUUCUUUUACCAUUAUGAUCAACUGAAAUUACUCCAAACAUUGAAAAGAUUUUUUGUAGAAUAAAACUGAGAUAUUUUUGUUCAGUAGAUGUUCUAAAGUGCUAUUAAGCAAAAUGUUUAAAUGAGUAAUAUUAGUAGCAAAAUGUGAAAUAAAAUUAGUUGUGUUCACAUUUUUCCAGAAAGAGGCAAAUUUCUAAUAACUGAGGUUAAUCUAUAAAUUGUAAUUGUUAUCUUGAUUAAUGGCUGGACAUGAUACCAUGAAGGCAUAAACUAAUUUGGGGUUUAAAAACUAUUACUGGGACUGGUGCCACUUGGUCAAUCCUCUGCCUGCGGCACCGGCAUCCCAUAUGGGUGCCGGGUUCUAGUCCUGGUUGCUCCUCUUCCAGUCCAGCUCUCUGCUGUGGCCCGGGAGUGCAGUGGAGGAUGGCCCAACUCCUUGGGCCCUGCACCCACAUGGGAGACCAGGAUAAGUACCUGGCUCCUGGCUUUGGGUCAGCGCAGCACACCGGCCACAGUGGCCAUUUGGGGGGUAAACCAGCGGAAGGAAGACCUUUCUCUCUGUCUUUCUUUCACUGCCUAACUCUGCCUGUCAAAUAAAAAAAACAAAACAAAAACAAAACAGCAAAAAAAACCCUACUAUUAAAAAUUAUGGAAACAAAAAUAAGUUAUUGAAGGGCUAAAGGAGACAUAAUAUUUUGAUACUUUUUAUGGUAGUUGUUUAGUAUAUGGGAAUAUAUUUUCAAAAACGUCAAAACUGGAUGAUAAGGUUGUAAAAUUCAUUCACAACCCUGAUCAGCACGAUAAAUACAAAUUUCUUUAUGACAUCAAAUUUUGACCAUCAGAGUAGAAUAUGUUUUCCAGAGAACUCUACAUGCCUUGUUGUUAAGUGUUUAAAGUAGUAUUUUAAAAAAUGGAAGCAAACAAUAAAGUAUUGAGAUUUCAUAUUACUUAUGUGAUAUCUUAUCCAUGUAAGUAAAACUGACAGAUUUGGAAUGUAAUAAUGAAAAAUAAAACACCAUAAUCUUAAAAUGUGCCAAAAAAACCUUCUAUUGAAGGUUUGAAUAUUUAGCCCAAGGCCAUUAUGGCUUCAAAUUAUAUUAUACAAGAGGAAAAUUAGAAUGGGAAAGACUAAAAAUUUAAGUUUUUAAGCAUUAUCCAAAUUCAUGUGUACAAUAUCUUGAAUGAUUAUAUUUAAAAUGUGGAUGUAUCUUAAAGUCCCUUCCUCACUUUUGCUGUUGUGCCAACUGAAAAUAUUUGUGACUGCAUCUGGAAGAUGUAGGAAAGGGCUAGCCAUUUGAUUUAUGAGCCCUGCAAGUGGUAUGUCUAGGGCAGGGGCUUUUAGUCCCCAGUAAAGUCUUUGAAUUCAUAAACAUCUUGCAAAAUCCUAUUCACAUACACUGAAAAUGUAUUUAAUCAACAUUAGUUUGCAGGAACCAGAACAGAGUAAAAGCAGUUACUGAAUAGUUAGGGCUCAAAUACUCUGAACUCGGGAAUGUUAUGAGGUUGUGGUCUACUUGCCAGCAUUUUCCCAUUUGAACUUUCUUUCUACUGAAUUUGCCUAUUUUAGCCACAAAAGCAAAUAAUUUGCAAAAUUUGCAAAGAGUUUCUUGGGAAACGAAAUCCUAUGUUCCUAAUGGCUCAAGAAAAUUCUGGAGCUUAACUCACUAUGAUUUCUGUGUUUCAUAAAGGCAGAUUUUGCCUGGUGAAAAGUGUCACUGCCAUCAGAUACCCCAGACAUGCCUGGGUGUUAGCAGGUGCCUGUGAGUUAGCAGGUGAGGAGUCAGUGCAAGUUGGAAGUGGUUCUAUGGAUGAGGAUCCCUAUGUGGGUAGACAGUGGCUGCCUAGUAGAAAUAUUCCUAGGACCUGUGAAGUGCAACUACAAAGUUGGGUGGGGAGGAGGAGCCAGGACAGUAAGAAAAGGAAUCAUGUAGUGGCUGAGAAUUAGGUAAGGAGGUUCACAUGUGUGUAAAAUCUGACCUAAAUUCAGUGUUUGUGUGGAGAAUAAGAGAAAGAUCAAAAUUAGGACAGAUUACAUGGAGGUGACUUGCUCAAUUUCUGGGUGGUCACUUUGGUCCUUGGUGUCAUUUCCUAUGCCUCUUUUCCCUUUACUUCUUGUUGUUGUCUUUGUUCUUUAUCCUGGACGGGUAGCCACACCAACUGAGCCUUGGUUUCUCAUAUGUAUUAGUUAGGAAUUUCCUUUAUUCAUCUGUUUUAGAAACUUGGGGCAGAGUAUAAUUAUUAUGGGACCAGAAUCUGGAGGAAGGUGGAUCAGGGUUGAUAUAUGAUUCAAUUACUCCUUUUCCGUGAGACCUUGAGGAAGUUACCUGACCUCUCUGAACCUCAGCUCCUCAUCAAUGAAUUAAUGAUAAUACUAAUAUCUUCUAUAUUCUAGAAUCACCAGGGUGAUUGCCAUCAUAAACAUAUAGCACUUAAUUUAGUAGAGUGUGAAGUACACAGGGCUUGGUUAAUUAAUCAUACUUUCCUUUCCCCUUUUCUCAUCCCACAGCUGAAACAUUUAUCCAGCUCUCAAGCACUUUCUUUCUGUCUCUUCCUCCUCUGGCCCAGUGUUGAUAUUUCUGAAUGAAUUUUUCCUAGCACUUCCCUCCAUUCAUUACAGCAGCCUGCCCCUUUGUUGACAACUUCACAGCCUUGAUGGCUGUCUGCGUUAUCUUGACAACUGGCCCUCAUUUGAGUUAAGAUUUCUACUAUGUUCCAUUUAGUCUCUUCUGUGUGAGUUUAACCUUUAUUGCCCAACAACCCUUGCAAUGAUGAGGAUAUUUCAGCAGGGAAGAACUGAGAGAAAAGGAAACAAGUAAAUUUUGUAAUGGAGCCAAAAUAUCCAAAUCAGAUGUUGCAUUAUAUCUGUUCGUUCUGAAGAGCAAAGAUGGAGAAGAAACUUUGAUAAGAACACACUUAAAGCUAAAACUGUGUGGGGAAAAUGAAGUCCUCUUCAAUCCUGAAGUUUGAAGAGAUUAAAAAUACCUGCAGUCUAUGGCCAUGCCACCCUUUAUACUCCCAAUCUCAUCUGAUCUUGGAAAAAUAACUACAUUAACAUGAAGCUAUGGCAGAGGACGGGGCAAAAGGAAAGUGAAGAGGAAAGAGUGGAAGAAUUAUGUGCGAUGCCUGGGACAGGAAAAGUUAGCUGCCCUAACAGGAUGGACGUAGGGUUAGUUUUUCCUAUUGAACUGAGUGGAGUAUCUCAUGAAGACACCAUAAAGGCAAGUGAGCUUCUUUAUGUCCAACUUCCUAGGGGCUGCGUCUUGGAUCAUCCAGUUUUUGGUCAGAUUUAUGUAGUAAUAACGUUUGCCUUACCAUUAACCACAGAAUGAGGCUGUGAAUACACUUAGAAUUUCAUGAGUUAUCCAGACCAGUUACAGUUUUAUUCCAGGUAGUUGGUAACUAUCAAUUUAGUUUACAAUACAUUCAAUGAGGGGCUGGUGCUGUAGCGCAGUAGGUUAAUCCUCUGGCCUGUGGUGCCAGCAUCCCAUAUGGGAACCGGGUUCUAGUCCCGGCUGCUCCUCUUCCUAUCCAGCUCUCUGCGGUGGCUUGGGAAAGCAGUGGAAGAUGGCCCAAGUCCUUGGGCCCCUGCACCAGUGUGGGAGACGUGGAAGAAGCUCCUGGCUCCUGGCUCCUGGCUCCUGGCUUCAGAUCAGCAUAGCUCCGGCUGUUGCAGCCAUUUGGGAGUGAACCAGUGGAAGAAAGACCUUUCUCUCUGUCUCUCCCUCUCACUGUCUGUUACUCUACUUCUCAAAUAAAUAAAAAAAGAACAAUACAUUCAAUGAGGCAACAAUGUUACUGAUAAAACAAAUAAAACAGUGCUAGAGAAGAUAUCAGAAUAAAGCGUGCAUUUUAAUUGAGCUCAGCCAAAGAAACAAGAGAAAGCUGUGGUGAGGAAAUACUUUUGUAAUACUUCCUUCUAACCUUUUAUUGAUGUCAUUCAGAAAGAAGCUUAGUAUAUUAGACAAUUAGCCUGAUGCAAAGAUUUGUAGGGAAAAAACUGAUUUUUUUUUUCCUCAGGGGAAAACUAGGGAGCAAAGAAAAGCAAGCAAGUUUGUAUCAGAAAGAAAAACAUAGAAAUGAGGUUUUAUAUCAAUUUACUCUGAAAGAUAGAAAAGAACAAGCUUAAACGUAAAAUUGAGAUUCAAGCAUUUGAUGCAGAAGCUGAAAUGUUGCUGGGGAUGCCUGCAUCCCAAAUUGGGGUGCCUGAGUCUGAGCCCCAACUUUGCUUCCAAUUCCAGCUUUCUGCUAAUGCAUACCCUCAAAGACAGCAGGUGACGACUCCAUGCCUGGACUCCUGCCUUACACUGCCUUCCUGCUGCAGGCAACUGGGGAGUGGUCCAGCACUGGCAGAUCUCUGUCUCUCUUUCUCUGCCUUCCAAAUAACAUGACAAUAAAGAAAUAAAAUUUUUUUUAAAAUGCAGAAUCAGAAAAAAGUAAAUUAUUUAUUAAUGCUGAUGGUUGAGGGUUGAGAAUAACCAGAGUAAUUAUGACAGACAUAUGCUGGAAAGGAAGCAAGAGAAACAUAGGGGAGAAAAAAGGUAGCUGAACAAGGAGUACUGUCUCAAAGAAAGCAAAAGUCAGAUGUCAUUAAUUUUAGUAAAUGCUCAGUGUCUUUAGAUAAGAUUAAACAAAUUCCUAAAUGCUAUUUUCGUUAACAGAAAUAUAGCAAAUUAAAAAUCAAGUCAUUUUUUCUAAUUUAAAGAUUCUAUUAUAAUUACGAGAAAAUUUACCAUUGUUUAAUUUUGUCAUUGAAUAUAUUUUCCCUAACAGAGCUUUUUAGUGCUGUCUUCUACAAAUUUCUUAUGCAGAUAUUUUUUUCCAGUGCAAAAAGUCAUAUUGUUGUACAUGGACAAACCACUUUCUAAUGUUCUUUAACCUUAUGCCUUUUAGACUUGCCUCUCCAAAAAGAUAUAUUUGAGUAAGUGGCCCAUUAGCAUCACAUAGAGGAAGGCUCUCAGUUUUUUUCUGUAACUACUGAACCCCUUGUUAGACAUCUCUGGAGUUUGUACUGAUAUAACAACCAUGAGGCUUUUCAGCAAAUGGCAACUCCAAAUCAGCGCCAGUUCCAACAUUCAAUCAUCCAACCCACGCUUGCAGCAGACAUUGUUUACAUAGAGGAAUCAACAGAGUAAAUUUAGAAUAUCCUAGAAUAAAUUAUGAUAAAUUUCCUGCUUCAGCAUGAUAACUUAAUGGAUCAGACACUAUCUCCCAAAGAGAGGAGGAACUGAUGAGCAUUCUUCGCAGGGAGUAAUUAUGAGAGAACUCUGUGGUUACAAAAUUGAAAUUAGAAUAUUUUCAACCAGUUUUCCAUUUUUUAAAUCCAGAGUUCAUGUUUUAAGAGUUAAGAAAAAUUGUAGCCUUUUGUAGGUCAACGAGUAAACUGUUUAUAGGAAGAGAGUAGCACGGUCUUACUGGAAAGAUGAUUCCUUUCUGGUAUUCUUCGUGCCCUCCCCCUCCCCCGAGUGACCUACUGAUCUCCAGAAAAAUUGUGAAGAAUAUGCCAGAUAUGCAAUUCCUAAAGUCUUUUUUCUCUGCAGUUGGGGUGACUGGAUAAUAUCUUAGCAAAUCUAUCAAAGAUUUUUUUUUGUUCUCUUUUUGGGAUUUUAUUUCCACAUGUGAGACUGAGUAGUCUGUAUGGGAUUCAUGACUCACCUUUGACUUAGAAAUCUGCACCAGGAGCCUCUAUUGAGUAAAAUAGCAGCCCAACAGAUAGAACUAGUUCAUUCCUAUUGCCAUCCCUCUCUGCCCUUUUCAAUCCCCAUCAUUUUAGUUUAACAGUUUCAUUUCUCACACUAAUGUAUGUAUCUAUUUGAUCAUGGAUGACGUUUUCAAGGUGCAUAUUUUCCAUAGCUGAGUUCUUGCUUUUGUGUUGCUCUUUUCUUGUGUGUAUGUGUAUGUGUUUGUGUGUGUGUGUGGGGGGGUGGGUGUGUGCUUAAAGAUUGCAAUCAUGGAACAAUGCUUGUCCUAUUUUCCAUUCUUAGUACCUCAAAUUCCAAAUUUGGAAUAGAGUAGAUGGGAAUAAAGCCAAUAUUGAUAAAGCAUAUGCUGUGAUAAUAAAUACAGUCAUCCAGUUUAGAAAUUACAACCCUGGCUGCUGCUUUUGGGAACUCCAUGAGCAUGAGAUAUUUCCUUUUAUGACUGGGGCAGUAGUUUAACAUACUGGUUAGAAAAUCCAGUUCUGGACUCAGAUAGAACUGGAGUUUCUCUCCACACCCCCCCCCCCCCCCCCAUGAGGGAGAAAUUAUUCCAUCUCUCUCAUGAGGGGAGAGAGAGAUAGGCAGGCAGACACAGAGAGAGUAUAUAUCUGCUGAUACACUCCUUAAAUACCCACAACACCUUUGGUUGAAACUAAAACCAGGAGCCAGUAAUCCACUCCAGGUCUCCCACAGGGUAGCAAGAAUUUUCAGUGUUGCACUAACCUUUAGUUAUUCACAUAUUUAAUUCAUCACUUACUCACCACUCCAAAAAGUACUAUAGACAAGUAUAUCAUGUUCAGAAAAAGUGAUUCUUUCAA